CACGUGGUUUAAUUUCGAAGCAACGCGAAGAACCUUACCAGGCCUUGACAUGCAGAGAACUUUCCAGAGAUGGAUUGGUGCCUUCGGGAACUCUGACACAGGUGCUGCAUGGCUGUCGUCAGCUCGUGUCGUAAGAUGUUGGGUUAAGUCCGUAACGAGCGCAACCCUUGUCCUUAGUUACCAGCACGUUAUGGUGGGCACUCUAAGGAGACUGCCGGUGACAAACCGGAGGAAGGUGGGGAUGACGUCAAGUCAUCAUGGCCCUUACGGCCUGGGCUACACACGUGCUACAAUGGUCGGUACAAAGGGUUGCCAAGCCGCGAGGUGGAGCUAAUCCCAUAAAACCGAUCGUAGUCCGGAUCGCAGUCUGCAACUCGACUGCGUGAAGUCGGAAUCGCUAGUAAUCGUGAAUCAGAAUGUCACGGUGAAUACGUUCCCGGGCCUU
rnacentral:rRNA from 1 species